UACGUAGGGGGCAAGCGUUGUCCGGAUUUAUUGGGCGUAAAGAGCUCGUAGGCGGCCUGGUAAGUCCGCUGUGAAAGUCCAGGGCUCAACCCUGGAAUGCCGGUGGAAACUGUCAGGCUCGAGUCCGGAAGAGGCGAGUGGAAUUCCUGGUGUAGCGGUGAAAUGCGCAGAUAUCAGGAGGAACACCGGUGGCGAAGGCGGGUCUCUGGGCCGAUACUGACGCUGAGGAGCGAAAGCGUGGGGAGCGAACAGG
rnacentral:rRNA from 1 species